rnacentral:lncRNA from 1 species
UUCGCUACAUGUUUCUUUUUCUUUUUCAUUUUUUUGCAUAUGUUCAAUCUUAUGCUAGAUUUAUUGGAUAAUUUAUUUGACAUUGAGCCUCUAAUCUGAUUACUUAGUCAAUUUGGUCAAUUGGGCAAUUUUUGAAUUAAAAUGUUCAAGUAUUUAGAUUAAUCAACAUGUGUGUUUUAAAGUUGAUAUAUGUAACUUGAUUUUUCAUAUAAAUUGAUUGUUUGGAAA